AGCCUCGCUCUGACUGCACCCUAAACUAUAAAGGGACCUGCGCGGAAAGCUGAGGGUUCUCUUUGCGCUGUAGGUUACUCUUUUAGGCGACCUGGUGACCAAGCAAAAUGUGGGGUUACAGAGUAAAUUUAGAUGCUCCGGUUCUGCGGAGCAGCCCUCCGCACUUGAGCUUAGGGUACCGGUGUAAACUACCUGGGAGAAGUGCGCAGCAGCAAAAGAGAUUUCAGGAUUGGAGCCUAGGCCCUGGGGAGAUUGGGACUGGGCAGCUUGGCUGAAGGCUGCGUGCGUUCUGGUUCCUCAGUCCCAGUUUGGGUGGGUUCUUACACAGCGGGGUUUGCAGAAAAAUAUGCAAGGCCUUUUGUGCUGUUUGGAAGGUACUGGUGACACCUAAGUGACAUCGGAUUAUAUGCACAUGAACCCUUUCACAGGGACCAUGGCGUCAUCAUUCUUAACAUCAUCAAAGCAGUUGCAAAAAGAUACCAAGAUGAAGGGGUGCCCAAAGCAUCCGAGAGAACUCGUCACAGAAAAUAACUUGAUUAAAACCUGACUCUUUUAAAAGUGGCCAUGCGGACCAGGACGGUGAACACUUCCCUGACCAUGUCUUACUCAGAGCCUUAAGAAGAGUUGGAGGUGGAGCGGAGCUGUGGGGAGGGGCCCAGUGUCUCUCAGAACUUCUCAUCCUCCGGGCUUCCCUAGGAUGCAAUGGGUCAGAGCUCCCAGAUCUCUUAUGCCUCCAAACACAUUGAUUCCCCCCAACUUUUUUACAACGGAUUUCCCAGUUCCUACCAAUCUCAUCUCUCUAAGUAAAUAAGAAGGGGUUUCUACUGAUGGCUUUCCCAUGGCCCGGCUUCAUGCUGCUCCUGUCAGGAUGGAUCAGGAAAGGAGCUGGACCUGAAGAUGAAUCUACCAUACAGUAGGUAGAGGCACGUGACAAGCACGCGCCAAGUCCUAAGCUGAUGCCCGCUAUCAGAAUUAACUGGGUGUGGUGGUGCGUGUUUGUAAUGCCACACUUGAGAGGUCCCAGCAGGAUGGCCAGAACUUCAGCUCAGCUACAGUGCAAGCUGGAGGCCAACCUGUGCUACAUGAGACGCUGUCUAAAUGACAAAACACAUCAAACAGACAAACAAAAGGGCUAAGGUUGGCUAAGGGAGAUCGAGUCAGAAAACCAGCUUGCAUGGAGAAUGCGCUCCUGGAAGCAAGGAUAUCGUUUACAGCCAUAAAAUGAUAAUAACCUGGUAGGAAAACGGGGUGGGAUUUAUAAGUGUCUUCAACAUGCAGAACGAGUAAAACUCACUACACUUCUCAAAAAUGGCAGUGUGGGGACCUUUGAGAGGGGCUCAGUGGGUGAAGGAGUUUGCUAUGGAGCCAAAUGACCUGAGUUCAAGCCCCACCACCCACAAGGUAGAAGGAAAGGAACAACUCCCGCAAGCUGUCUUCUGACCUCCGUGGUGGUACUAUAGCACGCCUUUGCCCCUACCCCACACAAAUAAGAAAACAACAAACAAAUAAACAAAUAAAUAUAAAUAAAACC
rnacentral:lncRNA from 1 species